rnacentral:rRNA from 1 species
AGUGAACGCUGGCGGUGGGCCUAACACAUGCAAGUCGAACGGCAACACAGUAAGAGCUUGCUCUUACGGGGUGCCGGUCGGGGGCGGGAGAGGAAAGUAACGUGAUCUACUUUUUCGGGUGGGUUAAGGUAGGGGAACUUACUCUAAGACAGCAGACCACCUACCGGGGAAGGCGGUGGAACUUCUGAGCUUUCGCGGAUGAAUGAGCCGCUGUCGGAUUAGCUAGUGGGGGGGUUAAAUGCCCACCAAGGCGGGGAUCGGUAGCCGGUCUGAGAGAAUGAUCGGCCACCUUGGAAGUGAGACACGGUCCAGACGCCUACGGGAGGCAGCAGUGGGGAAUAUUGGACAAUGGGGGGAAGCAUGAUACAGUGAUACGGCGUGUGUUAAGAAGGCGUUCGGGUUGUAAAGCCCUUUUGUUGGGAGAGAAACGCAGCCGGUUAAUACCCAGCUGUACUGACGGUAAUGAAAGAAUAAGCACCGGCUAACUUCGUG